rnacentral:rRNA from 1 species
AUUGAACGCUGGCGGCAUGCUUUACACAUGCAAGUCGAACGGCAGCGCGGGCUUCGGCCUGGCGGCGAGUGGCGAACGGGUGAGUAAUGCAUCGGAACGUGCCCAGUAGUGGGGGAUAGCCCGGCGAAAGCCGGAUUAAUACCGCAUACGACCUGAGGGUGAAAGCGGGGGACCGAAAGGCCUCGCGCUAUUGGAGCGGCCGAUGUCGGAUUAGCUAGUUGGUGGGGUAAAGGCUUACCAAGGCGACGAUCCGUAGCUGGUCUGAGAGGACGACCAGCCACACUGGGACUGAGACACGGCCCAGACUCCUACGGGAGGCAGCAGUGGGGAAUUUUGGACAAUGGGGGCAACCCUGAUCCAGCCAUGCCGCGUGCGGGAAGAAGGCCUUCGGGUUGUAAACCGCUUUUGUUCGGGAAGAAAUCCUCUGGGCUAAUACCCCGGGGGGAUGACGGCACCGGAAGAAUAAGCACCGGCUAACUACGUG